rnacentral:rRNA from 1 species
AUUAGUCUUUUAAUUGGAGACUGGUAUGAAUGGCUAAACGAAAAAUUAACUUUUUUUGUCAUGAAUAUUGAAUUUAAUUUUUUAGUGAAAAAGCUAAAAUAAGUUAGAAAGACGAGAAGACCCUAUAGAGUUUUAUAUUAAAAUAAAUUUUUUCUUAUUAGAUUUUUAUAGAUAAAGUUUAAAAUAGUAUUUUGUUGGGGCGACAUUAAGAUAAACAAAACUCUUUAUUUUAAAAAUUUUAAUUAAAAUAUAGUUUGAUCCUUUUAAAAAGAUCAAAAGAAAAAAUUACCUUAGGGAUAACAGCGUAAUCUUUUUUGAGAGUUCUAAUCGACAAAAAGGUUUGCGACCUCGAUGUUGGACUAAAAUUUAGGCAGGGUGCAGCAGUUCUGCUUUAAGGUCUGUUCGACCUAUAAUAUUUUACACGAUCUGAGUUCAGACCGGCGUAAG